AGCCAGGGUGUUUUAGGCCAGCAGAGCUGGAAAACCCUGGGUUGUUCAUCUGUUCAUCCUUGACUAUUUGCAGCAUCUCAGUACUGUAGCUUGUGACCAAGAGCUGUCAGCAGUCUGAUCUGACUGAAACUUACCAACAGUGCAGCUCUACAGCACUGCAAACACUCAUUGAAAGCACCUGGGAGUGACAAACUGCUGCUGUGUGAGUCUGGCUGGGACGAGAAGGAUGCCCUUCAGGGAGGAGAAGCAAUGAGGCAGGCCAAGAAGGAAUGAAGCCCUUCAGAGAUGAGAGUUUUGAAAGAAAAGUCUGAGGUGGGAGAGUUUGUCAGAGACUGGAAGUAGAACCAAAGCUACCUUUCCCAUAGGGAUCCUCUUAUCUUCAAAAUUAUUCUGGCUUGCACUGUUUUGUUUUACAUGAAUGGAGGAUGCUUUGACUUCACAGAUUUUUACUUCUGUAGAAGUUGCAGAACCUCUGUAACCUUGGGUUGUGUGCUUACAACUGAACUCACAGCAGUGUUUUUGCUUGAGUUUGAGGAUCAUGGCUCCAGGGUGCCGGACACUGCAGGAUAAGCACCAUCAGCAAAAUGCUUCAGGAAAACCAGCUGCCUUAGCUGGCAGCUGCUGGGUGAGCUACCUACGGGCUACAUGUGAAGGAGAAGCAGGUGAGCCAUCAGGCUCAUUUUGUAGCACAGCUUACACCAGAUGUUGGAGCUGUGAUGUGCAAUAUGGUAUCUCACCUCCAACACAAACCACACCUGGUGCCUGGAGCAAGGUGGAGAAGGUGUAGUUGCCAGACUUGCUAUUCACAGAAGCUGAGCGUGUAUUGUGAAGGAAGACUCCUAAGAGAUGAGGAAUAAUUUCUACCCCACUGGUUAGGUGGAGAGGCUGGAGCAUGGAGGAGAGGGAGCUGGCUUCCUCCAUGGUCACACAGCAGCCACAGCUGCAGUUGGAAAGCAGACCCAGACAUCUUGAUUCUGUUUUCUUGCCCUUUCUGCUUCAAUACUUUGUCACUUCCUGAUAAGUACCAUAUAGUCCUGCCAUUUCAACAGAGCUAAUCUUUUAGAAGCUACAAUUAAAAAGUAGCUGGUGAAGGCAUUAAAGGUGCCAGGUGGAGUUUCCCAUGUUCUCCUUUCAGAUGCAGUUCAUAGAACAGGGAUGAGUUUCCUCUGGUACAGAAAUAUGUGUAUAGUAACCAUAUGCUUACCCUACUGUCAUCCCAGGGAUGGGGACAAAAAUAUGAAUGGGUGGCAUUUUUUUGUUACCAGGUAUGUAUAAAAAGAAAAAUAACUAAGCAAAAAAAAGGGGGAAAAAACCACAGCACAACCACCCAAGGGCAAGAAAUAACCCAAACAAACUGAGGGUAGUGGAAAGCAGUGUCCGGUUAGACAGAUCACUUUGUUUCUCAGUGGAUUUUGUUCAGGAGUUGAAUUAGCUGCAAUUACAACUUUUAAGAAAAGACAAAAUAAAAAAAAAGAAAAAGGAAAGGAGAUAAAUGUCUCAUAGGUAUGGAUAUAAAUGAAUGCAAAUGCUGAACUUGAAGAUGAGUGUUGGAGGUAGGGGGCAUUGGUGACAGCAGUGAUAUUUUAGGUCAGGAGUCACGGAAUCUGGGGCAUUCCCUGAAGUUGUUGUUGUUGCUUUUGGUUUUGUUUUCUGGAUUAUUCACCAAACUGAAAAAUGUCUUAUUUUGCAUGACUGUGACAGUUUCAGUUUGGAGGUGAUUUGUACAAGUGUUUGUCAAAAAAAAAGCCGUGACAUUCUUGACUUAUGCUAGGGCUUCACCUGACCUCCAACAUGGAAGGUAAUGGAUGUUUCUUCCUGUAGUUUUUUGGAGAAGAAUCUUCCACCAGCUGCCUCUGAUAUCUGAAAUCUCUGAUGUAAGAACAUGACUUUUCCAGGCUCUUAGUUAAGUGUUCAGGUUGGGCAAGUAUUGAUGUUGAUGAGCAGCUAACUUUAGUUUGUGUGUGUAUACAUAUAUAUGUGUAUAUAAAUACAAAAUUCAGAUAGGCAUAUUAUAUUGAAAUAUAAUUAU